AAGUCGUAACAAGGUUUCCGUAGGUGAACCUGCGGAAGGAUCAUUAUUGAACUAAGUCGGAUUCGAUGCUGGCCCUUAACCCGGGCAUGUGCUCGUCCUUCAUUUUUCUAACCUUCUUUAUGUGCACAUUUGUAUGCCCCUGAGUAACGAGCGCCUCUCGCAGCAAUGCGGUUUGCUUGGGACUGACGGCCUGGUCGUCUUUCCUGCAAUGCUCUCUGGGGGCUACGUUUUUAUAUACAAGUCAGUUAUAGAAUGUCUUUUAAUGACUGUUGCCUAGCGCAUGGUCUUAAACAAUUACAACUUUCAGCAACGGAUCUCUUGGCUCUCCCAUCGAUGAAGAACGCAGCGAAAUGCGAUAAGUAAUGUGAAUUGCAGAAUUCAGUGAAUCAUCGAAUCUUUGAACGCACCUUGCGCCCUUUGGUAUUCCGAAGGGCAUGCCUGUUUGAGUGUCAUUAAAUUAUCAACCUUGCUCGCUUUUACCGGCUUGAGCUGAGGCUUGGACGUGGGGGGUUUUUGCUGGCUUCCUUCAGUGGAUGGUCUGCCCCCCUUAAAUUCAUUAGCGGGAUCUCUUGUGGACCGUCACUUGGUGUGAUAAUUAUCUAUGCCGUUUGACCUUGAAGCAAAUUUAUGGGACCCUGCUUAUAACCGUCUCUUACCGGGACAAUUUAAUAACAUCUUGACCUCAAAUCAGGUAGGACUACCCGCCGAACUUAAGCAUAUCAAUAAGCGGAGGAAAAGAAACUAACAAGGAUUCCCCUAGUAACUGCGAGUGAAGCGGGAAAAGCUCAAAUUUAAAAUCUGGUGGUCUUUGGCCAUCCGAGUUGUAAUUUAGAGAA
rnacentral:misc_RNA from 1 species